rnacentral:rRNA from 1 species
GACGAACGCUGGCGGCGUGCUUAACACAUGCAAGUCGAACGGAAAGGCCCUGCUUUUGUGGGGUGCUCGAGUGGCGAACGGGCGAGUAACACGUGAGUAACCUGCCCUUGACUUUGGGAUAACUUCAGGAAACUGGGGCUAAUACCGGAUAGGAGCUCCUGCUGCAUGGUGGGGGUUGGAAAGUUUCGGCGGUUGGGGAUGGACUCGCGGCUCAUCAGCUUGUUGGUGGGGUAGUGGCUUACCAAGGCUUUGACGGGUAGCCGGCCUGAGAGGGUGACCGGCCACAUUGGGACUGAGAUACGGCCCAGACUCCUACGGGAGGCAGCAGUGGGGAAUAUUGCACAAUGGGCGGAAGCCUGAUGCAGCAACGCCGCGUGCGGGAUGACGGCCUUCGGGUUGUAAACCGCUUUCGCCUGUGACGAAGCGUGAGUGACGGUAAUGGGUAAAGAAGCACCGGCUAACUACGUG